rfam:TPA: Bos taurus chromosome 17, whole genome shotgun sequence.
UCCCUGGUGGUCCAGUGGCUACGACUCUGUGCUACCAAUGCAGGGGGCCUGGGUUCGAUUCCUAGCCAGGGAA